rnacentral:rRNA from 1 species
UACAGAGGUCUCAAGCGUUGUUCGGAUUCAUUGGGCGUAAAGGGUGCGUAGGGUGGCGGGGCAAGUUUGGUGAUGGAAAUCCCGGGGCUCAACCUCGGAACUGCACUGAAUACUGCCUUGCUAGAGCAGCUGGAGAUGGGAACUGGAAUUUAGCGGUGUAGCAGUGGAAUGCGUAGAUAUCGUAAGGAAGACCAGUGGCGAAGGCGAGUUCCUGGACAGUUGCUGACACUGAGG